rnacentral:tRNA from 1 species
GUCCUCGUAGCUUACAGAAAGCAUGCCACU